rnacentral:rRNA from 1 species
UACAGAGGUGGCAAGCGUUGUUCGGAAUUACUGGGCGUAAAGGGCGCGUAGGCGGCCUUGUAAGUCCUAUGUGAAAUCCCCCGGCUCAACUGGGGAACUGCACAGGAGACUGCUUGGCUUGAGUUCGGGAGAGGGAAGCGGAAUUCCGGGUGUAGCGGUGAAAUGCGUAGAUAUCCGGAGGAACACCAGUGGCGAAGGCGGCUUCCUGGCCUGUUCUUGACGCUGAGGCGCGAAAGCGAGGGGAGCAAACGGG